rnacentral:lncRNA from 1 species
CUGGGGGGGAAUGCUUUCUAUUCGGCCUUUGAUUCUAUAAUGCCUGUCUCGUUGUGGUUGAAUAGUACUCCACCAUCCGUUCUGAGUCCCGGUCGGUGACAGCGGCUGAUUGCUUUUUUUUAUCGGGGGUUUUGACUUUCCUUCCUGUUCCCUAUUCUGUAGAGCAGUUUAUCCCUGACUAUCUUAGGGGAAGAUUUCUCUCUUCUCUACAAAGACACUCGGAACGCAGUUUGGUCACAGUCAAUGGGAAUAAUACAACAUGAAGACAAGACGCAUUAAUAUUCACAAACAAAGAUGAUACUGAAUGGGCUCCUCUGUUGCGCCGUACUGCUUGCUUUGAAACCUAUUCGGAUGGCGCGAGAUAGGAUAUGCUUUGCUUUCUUGUUGCGUGAAAGUGCUUGAGCGACCGUCGGGAAAGAUUUUUAGCGGGGAAGGCAGUCGAGUUGUCCGUCUUAUCUUAGAAAUUGCUUUAUUAAGGUCCCAUCCGUCGUAACCCUUACAUUGCAUUCUAGCGAGUUUGAAGUUUUAUUCUACGUUUCAUGUGGUUCCUCGGUAGGUAGGGAUUCCAUUAGUAUAGUACCGUGUGCUUGUGCAGGUGAAGUAAAGCUUUUGUUGAUUGAUUCCAGACAGGUCUCUCGAGCCUUCUUUCUCGCUCUCAUCUAUUUUACAUAGAUGAUUGGUCUCGAGCGUGAAACACCCCAGGGAUUAAAAAAGAAAUUCGACUUUUCCCUAACGCCAAUAAGAAAGGAUGGUGUUUUUAGGUAACAAACCACACCAAACAGGCUAAUCCCGUAGCAAGAAAAAAACCAGAAAGGAACUGGGGUGGCCAGGUGUGAAGAGAAAGAUAGCGUACAACGUAGUAGCCAACUCAUAGAAAGAGCAGGGGUGCUAGCUUUGAAACAAGGUAACAGGAGAAAGUAAAUAAUCAUCGAGCGAAGAUUAUUUGUUUUUCCUUAGUCCAAUCGAGAUAUAUUUUAUUGUACAAUUGAUGCAGAACGAAGGCGCUUUCCGGGAAGGUGAGGGUCGUAGACAUGAUAUUUUGAUCACCUUGAGUUGAGAAGGAAAAUAAGCUAUUGAAGUUGGUGAGAGAGCGGUAUGGGAUUGGGAAUGAAUUGAUAGACUCCGGGAAGCUUCGUUCCUACAUUCUGCUCUAACUUAAAAGCAUUCCUUUUUUUUCAUUUUACGGGAAAACAUCAAGGAAAGGGCUAAGAUCCUCUUUGACAACUUGAAUUCGUACGCAAGAUACCGAAUUGGAUCCCUUUCAUAGAUGGGAAUUGAUGAAUUAAGGAAGCAGUAGCACUCCCUCCCGAUGUUUUGCCAAAAGCUCGUUUUCCGACAGAAAGAGAAAACUUCAGCCCCGGACCGAAAGGUGGGCCUCUCGAUCUAAACCAGCCUUGUCUACCAAGAAUUGAUACAUCGAGAAGGUAGCAUGUCGAACUAGAAUUCCCUUAAUUGAGGAAGUGAAAACUCCUUUGAAAAGCUUCUAUCUGACAAGAGGAAGUACUCAACUAGUGAAUGAAAGGAAAGAUGACGCCCAGGCAAAGUCAACUUAUUCAAGUGUCCUCUUUAAUUCAGGUAACUAAUUAAGCGCAUCUAUCUACCAGCAAAGACAGGUUAGAAUUGUAAUCUAUUCUAGGAGUGUCCCUUACCUUAAACCUUAAGUAGCUCACUGAAGGAUGUGUGAAAGUAAGCAAGCAAAGUCUCAACCCGAAAUCAAUAGCCCGCAAGAAAUAGAAAGGAGAAAGCCCAUCUCUUUCCAGUAGUAUGUAGCUUUACUUCCUUGAACUUCUAUGGAGGGCUUAGUUUGCGCAGUUGAGUGGCGCUUGUUGAAUACCUCUCGUAGGCCUGUUCCAGGGAAUGCUCUUGUCUAUUUCUAACUAGUGGUGGAAAGAGAAUGAGAAAUAGAGCCAUGAAAGAGAAUCGAUUUCAAGUAGCAGUAUAGUAGAUUACGUAGUAGUGCUAUCUUGUGACCUCUCCUCUGAACCCUAUUCUUUUCCACUAACAUCUCGCCCGGUAGCAGUAGCUUCCUCCUCUCUCCGUCCGCCAUUAUAACUACUCUGGAACCUAAAUCAGUCUUGCAGGAGUGGUAACCCAUGUAGUAAGACUCUUCGGCCUCGUAGUCAAUCUACUGAUGAGCCUUAUCGCUAAAGAAGGGGGAGCCUAUUGAAGUUUCAAAAAAAGGAAUUGAGAAUCAUCAUAGGCUGUGUUUUAAGUGAAGGAGAUAGACAGGACUUGCUAGGAAUUGAAUCAAUAGGCUCAGGGGCAUGCCCGUAUCCUCUGCAAGAGAAUCCGCUCUUUGACACAUAUAUUAGACCGUAGCACAAGAGACGAUUCGCUCUAGUUCCGUAACCAAGCGAAAGAAGAUUCAUGGACAUAAGCUACGGUUAAAACCUCGGUUUGCCCUCAACUAUAUACGUUGAUAGGGGAUAACUUCUUUGCUAGCUACCAGCUAAAGGUGAUACUAUCUACAACUCCUGAAAGAAGGCCAAAUAGUGUCUCAUCCGACAUUCCCUCUCUAAGGAAUGCUUAUUCAAACCAUUUGUGAGAAUUUGAGAAUUUUCUUCUUUAUCUCUUUCUCCUUGGUGGAAGGCUGUUUAUGAGCGGAAUGGAGUAGAGGUAGAGGGUCCGAAGGAGAGAGGAGAUCUCUGCUCUUAUCGUUAAUUAGGUAUGCCUCUAGAUCUGAAUGUAUACCCUAGGCCAAGGGGUGCGAUCCCCCGAGCAGCUCUUCAUACUAUGGGGUUAUAUAAUCUCUUUGACCUUUUGAUUGAGGGUAUUCAGCAGUGGGCCUAGCUUAAGGUAGGAGGUGAUUGAAAAAGGGGAAGUCGGUCCCCUUACAUAGCCAUAAUAGUAAGUUUUUUCGAAGUAGCUGAACAAUUGAAUCGGCUGGUAUAGAAUCAGCUGCACAUUAAUCUUCCUCUAUUCUAUCAAUUUCAUUCUUUUUUAUGUCCACAUGUUUGAUUUAAAAGGGAAGUAAGGCCACCUCUGAAGUUUGAGAACCAGCUGGAACUUGGAUUGCUGACUAAUCUAAUAUCCUAUCAAAGAAGAUGAACUUGCGGGUAAUAUACUGUAUGUAAGACUGACAGGCUUCGAAUGAGGCUUUAAAGAAAGAGAUAGAGGUUCUCAAGAGUGGAUCUUCAAGAUCAAAGACCGGAGAACACUAAGAGCUAACUUGUCUCAAUUAGGCUUUUGACAGAGCGGAGAAAGAUCUUAUUUUAAUUUAGGGGAUUCCUCUAUAAAGAAUAAGGGAGAAGAUCUACAACAUAGCAAACUAGCCUCCUUCUUACUAGCAUUUUUCCAGGUCCUCUCGAACCAACAUCUUCCAACCUGGUGCUCUCACUUCUCGGACUAGUACAUGUCCAAACCAAAGCCAAAGCUCCAAAAGUCUAAGGAUAAGUUCCUUCUCUAUGGAAGAAAGAGAGUGCCACAGCUAUUAUUCAAAAGCUCGAAAAUUCCUUCUGGGAACAGCCAGAAGAUAGAAAGACCAAUGCCUGGCCUGCUACUACUUCGGAUGGAUAAUACGACGUUACUACUCUCCUUCCUGCUUGCCAUUUCCUUUUUAAAGCUGCUCAUUCUUCAACCCCAGGAUGUGAUGACCUAUUCUAUCUUAACUUUAGCUACUCAGAAACCUAAACGAUGGAUGUUUUUCCCCCGUCUUCCCAAACCAAUUUACCUAUUUGAGAUGUCUCCAUGUGUGGCGUGAUAAGAUAGGACCACUAGGGGCCCGGUUUGUCCUUCUUCCCGCAAGAACCCUAACCCUUCAUUCUAUUCCAUACAUCCUUGGUAGGACAUCUAUUUCUCAAUUCUAUAAACCGGUAAGCUCCAUUUUUUAUGGGACUUGAAGGCUAGGCUAAACCUCCCUCAAAGGGACGAAGUGACUCGACUGAAAGGAGAGGGACGAAGUGACUCGACUGAAAGGAGAGGGACGAAGUGACUCGACUGAAAGGAGAGGGAUGAAGUGAGCGGAACUCUUUUUCAAAGAACUGGAGAUAUUCCCUUAACUGAAAAUUUAAUAGCACCGAUUAUGAACCUGGAAAGAGAAGAGCACCGUCUACUCAUACUGUCACACCGCCAAGGACUUUCACUUUCUAAAUAGAAAGGAAGAGGUCAGGCCCACCUUUUACAAGAGUAGAAGCUGGUACUCAACACUUGUAUUCUAUUCCCCAUUAUUUAUCUUUCUCACUAUUCGAAAUAUCAUAAGAGAAGAAAGAAGUUCAUAUAGGUCGGAUCCUAGCGUAGAUAAAUGCUAUCCGACUUGAAUGAUCGAAUCGAUUCUUUCACUUUGUCGAACUCGAAAUGGAGGCUCUCUUUACCAAGAGGAGAAGAUAAGGUCUUUUGGCAAUAGAAGGCAUAAUACUAAUUGAUUCUUUGACCAUUUUGUGUUAGAAUUCGAAACCGACGAGGCGCUGCUGGAUGCUUCUGAUCAAUAGAACACGAAGAAGAGGAUAAAAAAAGCUUAUGAUGUGCUUGAGAAAAAAAAAGCUUAUGAUGAGCCCCAUCACAUAGAUGCACAGAGGAAGAGAACGAACGUCAUCUUUGUUUUUCUCUCUUUUGAAACAAAUUUUUCUUAGUCUCACUGUCCUUUUACUUACUCCAAUCCUUUUAAACUGUAAUUGGGACUUUUCUUUUGAAGUUGCUUUCUUUACUUCAUUUCUUAGCGACUUCUUGGAUUUUUGGCUUUUUUUAAUGGAUAGAAUUCCUCUUUCCGUCGGAGGCGAUGGAAGUGGUCCUAGCUUAUCGAAAAAACCUUCCUUUGAUCUCAACAUAUCCGCGGCUGAAGAAGAGCCAGGGGAUCGGUCCGAGAUCGAGAGAGCCUUGGAUCAACUUGAAUUGGCAAAGAUUAAAGAACAAAAAGAUCUCUUCGCCGAACAGAUUAGCCCCCUGAUUGAAUCAGAGAAGUCACGCCUUGUUCGAAGGAAGUGGCACCGCAACUUGGAUGAACUUCCAUCACCAAGUGAAAUGGUGGAAAUCAUUAUUGACCUCUUCGGUAGCAAAGCUGCAUAUAAUUCCAACAAACCCAAUGUCCCCAUGGAUAAUUUACGACACUUGAGGGCUUGGUUAACCCGAGCGCAACACUCGGUGGAGCAGGAUAGGAAGGGAAACAUGAGUAUAAAAAAUCAUAUUUCUUCAAUAAUUGAAGGAUAUUUCAAGUAGAAGAGCUGACGUAUUGUUUCAUAUUUGAAUUUCUCUUACAUUCUACGUUCCCGAAAUGGAUCCUAUCAAAUAUUUCACAUUUUCUAUGAUUAUCUCUAUUUCAGGUAUUCGGGGAAUCCUCCUUAAUAGACAAAAUAUUCCUAUUAUGUCAAUGCCAAUUGAAUCAAUGUUAUUUGCUGUGAAUUCGAACUUUUUGGUAUUUUCUGUUUCUUCAGAUGAUAUGAUGGGUCAAUCAUUUGCUUCAUUGGUUCCAACGGUGGCAGCUGCGGAAUCUGCUAUUGGGUUAGCUAUUUUCGUUAUUACUUUCCGAGUCCGAGUGACUAUUGCUGUAAAAUCUAUUAAUAGCAUUCAAGGGUAAACAUGACUCCUAGAGAGUUACCAAAAUACGAAGUUCUCUUCUCCUUUCUUUCUAUUAUUUCUUUUUGAUACUUGGUUGGCAGGGUUAAGGCCUUUCUCGCUGGGCGAGCGCAUCCGAUUCUAAAGUCCUUUCUAAUUCUUAAACCCUUCUUGUUCAGUUGCUGAAAGAUAGAGAUCAGGCUUUCUAAAUGAGAUUGAGUUCCACGAAUAUGCAGGCUAGAAAGAUGCUAUUUGCUUCUAUUCUAUCUAUUUGUGCAUCAAAUUCGAAGAAGAUCUCAAUUUAUAAUGAAGAAAUGAUAGUAGCUCUAUGUUUUAUUGGCUUUAUCAUAUUCAGUCGAAAGAGUUUAGGUAAGACUUUCAAAGUGACUCUCGACGGGAGAAUCCAGGCUAUUCAUGAAGAAUCGCAGCAAUUCCCCAAUCCUAACGAAGUAGUUCCUCCGGAAUCCAAUGAAUAACAACGAUUACUUAGGAUCAGCUUGCGAAUUUGUGGCACCAUAGUAGAAUCAUUACCAAUGGCACGUUGUGCGCCUAAGUGCGAAAAGACAGUGCAAGAUUUGUUAUGCCGAAACCUAAAUGUUAAGUCAGCAACACUUCCAAAUGCCACUUCUUCCCAUCGCAUCCGUAUUCAGGACGAUAUAGCCAUAAAGAUGCACGUCUUAGUGGGGAAAAGAUUUUGCCCCCGGUGUAGCUCGAAAGCAGAAAGAGUAGAAUUCAUUCGAGAGAUCUUGGUGGUCUUAAGAAUGGUUCGGGUAGGGGAUUCUCUUAAGAAUAAAGAAUUAGAAUAAAAUCUAAUUCAUGUUCAUGUUAACAAAAGAGCGGAUCCAAUACCAAGACGCUUGAGUAAGUAAGAUGGAUGGAUUUGGAAGCAAGUGAAAGAACUAGUUGCAUAGAUAUAGAUAUAGAGAAAGUCCUUUCUCUUCAGAGGGUGAUAUUAGGGUUUUGAGAUCGGUUCUGACGUCGAACAGGUUUUCGACCCGAAAAGCUCCACAGAGCUGUCGUAUGCGGGUACUAUGAGUCCCACGACUUUCUUGAUCGCCACAUUCUUCAACCAUGGGUUAAGAUGUGGCUAAAGUCUCUCCGAUGGUAGCGUAUAUUACGCUCGAGGUCUCUCGAGCCUCCUCUUGUACCAAUGUCUCCAUUUUAGGGUUUAAGGAAUAAGGUAAUGAAAUUCCGGUAUGGACUUUUAUUGUUGUUACGACAGGCGGAGAGCAGUGCCCUAUUGAUCUAAUUCCUACUUCCCCUUGGUAUCGGUAAAGGGGCUGGUAAGCGAUUCCCGAAUAGAUUCCUUUCUCUUCCCCGGACACCGAACAAAGGGAACUCAGGCUUCACUUGUCGUAGUAAGACCACCCCUCUAUACGUUUUCCCUAUCGCUCUGAUGAACCUCUUUCCGCCUGUUCUCUAGAGUUCAACAAUAGAUUCUUGACUAUCCCUUAUUUGUCCAUUAAGUCCGUUUUCCGCUAAAGGCAGCAUGAAAAGUACCUAAAUUGUAAUACGUAAGAGGAAGGACGACUAAGAAACUAUGCUACAAUUGGCACCCCAAACUAAAAACUACAACCGGAAAUCCAACUUUAGGUGGUCAUUAUGAUCAGAAACUCACUCUUUGGAGAAUUUUAUUGACCUUGCAUAUAACAUGGGGAAUCUGGUUAGCACCCAUAUUUAAGAAUAAAAGAACAAAGACUUGAUUGGACGGUAUUCACGAGCAGAUGACAAGCAUGAGUGAAGAAGGGUCUUAUGUUACCAUUUUUGGUGGUAAAAAAGAUGUUCUUGUUCUUCCAUUCCCCAAACCCACUUCAGCUUUCAAGAUUGGGUUGGUGUUCCGAUUGGCGAGAGGUGUAAGCAUCGCGAGGUGUGAAGCCAGAUCGUACUAAAAACAAUGAAAAAAUUUAGAAAAUGAGAGAUUUAAAAAAAAUAAGUAAAAGCAGAAUGAAAGACAGUCCUAUAUUGACAAGGACGAGCUUUUUCACGAAGAAAGCUUCGCGCCCAACUGCUUGUAUAUCGAUCGGAAAGAAGCAGCUGCAAAUGCUAUCAGUGGUUCUUCCUUCCUAUACCAUCUAUCUAUAAGAGUUGCUUGAUUCGCCCCCAUCUUUAAUAGGACUGGACUAAGUUCGAGCAGAUCUCCGUCCCAUUUCACGGAUGCAUCGCAUUGAGAAGUGACUCGUUGGAUUAACCACUUAGACGGAGAGAUCCUCGUAUUCCAUUUCAUUGGCAACUGAAAUAGAUCUAAACGGAUUGCGCGGUACCCCGGACCGAAGAAAUUGAAAUAUGAAUUGAAAAGAAUAUCAAUAUAAGGCCCAGAUGUAACCUGUGCGGAGCAAGCCUACACUGGCCUGCAACCGCUUUCUCAUUGGCUCCAUUAGGGUUCGUAAUCUCAUCCUGAAAAAGGUUUUUUUUCUUUCUCCGGAUAUACUCUCAACUUUCCCUGCUAUCCUAUCAAUAGGUCAGUCAAUAUAAGUAGUGGAGGAAGAAGAGUAGUACCCUUUUUCAGUUAGUCUUAAUAGUUUAAUAAUUCAACUAGUGGUCUUCUUGCCUAAAAAAAAGAGUCAGCCCAACAUGGGCAAUGAUAGACAGACCAAAGAUUUACGUAGUCGUUGUGUGCUUGCUUUGUGCACCGGCAUAGCAGAAUUUGAAGCUGCUCGGCGUACUAGCCCUAUAACGGAGUCAGACCCAACCACACUCUCUUAGUAUAAAGCGGAGCAGGACCGUUAGCCUGAUCUAACUCCCCACCCAACCGCCCUGGCGUAUGUUUCCGAAUCAACUGCAUCGUAAGCUGCUAUAGCUCUUGUCAACUACCCUAGAAAUGAAAAAGAAACUCUAUCCUCAACCCUUCCAAUCCUUAUUUCAUGGUGGCAACUUCACCCCGUACAUCCUUUAGUUGUGAGACCCGCCUAGAGUGAGGCGCUAAGGGAAGGGCGUAGCGUUAAAUCUGCCUCGCCUUUCAGAGGUUUUCCACCCUUCUGUUGAGCACCAAUUGGAAAUCCAAUCUGACUUCUAAAACAGAAGUAAGCACAGGUGAGAGGACCCCACUUUCCCGCAUUCCUCUCCCCACGAACAGAACACCAGAGAUGCACAACACGUGGGCCUUGUCUAACGAACGAUGACUUUCGAUUCUUCACUUCAAGGAGUAGAGUCGCUGCCCAACCCUACCUAUAUAAAAGAAAAAGAAUCAAUCACUAGGUCCCGAGCAAUUCUACCUUCUUUCCAUUAUCCAACGCUCAUGCGUCCCCUUUCUCCCACUCUUUUAAAGCUUUCAAUAAAGCCUUCUUAGCUGUGGAAUCAGCAACCGGUCUGUUGGAAAGUUCCUGCAUAAGUUGUCGGAUCCUCAAAAAAAGCUUUUCUAGGGACGCGUUGUUCAAGUCGAGUUUCCUUAUUGUCCCUUCCAAGACAUCCCUUCUAACUUCCCUAUUUCCAAAGGAAGAAAGAACGGUCGAAAGCUCUCUUUCGAGAGCCUCUUUUGUUGGGCUCAGCGGCCCCAAUUGCAAGGCUAGAUCCAGAUCCCCCAUAGCCUGUCCAGCAUGAGGAAUGGCUGGCAGAGCAUCAGGAUUUCCUUGAUCCAUUCUCAAGAUCUCAAGCCCACCUACCAACUCGCUCCCGGUGAUAUUAGGCACUACCUCAUUUGGACUGGAAAUAAUAUAACUGUCCAUAAAACAAAUCAUUACUGUGUUUUUAGUCUCGUUGAAUAAAAUGCAAACGAAAUGACUUACUAGCCACAGUAUAUCCCCGACACAACCUACAUUCACAAACGAUAGUUGUUUAGAAAUUGAAAAACAAUUGAGACGAGAAUUUAAUGAUACGUAUUAUGUGAAGUUUUGGGAUCAUAGAGAAGAAGGAAAAAUAAUCGAAUCUCACUCAUUUUCAGGUAAGAUUUACUUAGCUCGCUCCCUGCUCACGGAGCAAAAAGAAAAGCGUUAUCGGAUUUCCAUCGAUGACUUAAGCCUCUUUCUUAAGGGACUUUAAAGACCGGCCAUUAUCGGACUCUUCUUAUGCUUUUUUUUCACCGGGCUUGGACCAUGUCUCCCGAAUAAUCUCAAUACAUAUGGUGCAAGACGAUUCUACAUAUCGAGGUCGGAAUGGGAUCGGGUGUUUUCACGUCUUACCGUAGUGCCCGCUUUGUCUUGAUUUCCGAUUGAUGAACAAGAAGGAAAAUGGAACAAUUCUAUUUUUGACUCGCCCCCGGCUACGUGUCCUUUGGACCCUUCGCCUGCCCGCCACCAGUGGAAGCAAGCUAGCCCCCUAUGUUGGAAAGUUGGGGGAAGAGUGCAUUUCCAUCGCGAAAGAUUCAGUCCAGCCACAGGUUCCCCUACGGCUACCUUGUUAUGACUUCACCCCAGUCAAAGACCCCACCGUAGUAUGCGCCAAUAAGACCACCAAAGGCCUUUGUGGCACUAGUGUGCCACAGAAGUCAUGGGUGAUCAUUGGUCCGAUGCUUCGGGCGAAACCAAUUCCCAGGGUGUGACGGGC